rnacentral:rRNA from 1 species
AGUGAACGCUGGCGGUAGGCCUAACACAUGCAAGUCGAACGGCAGCACAGUAAGAGCUUGCUCUUACGGGUGGCGAGUGGCGGACGGGUGAGGAAUACAUCGGAAUCUACUUUUUCGUGGGGGAUAACGUAGGGAAACUUACGCUAAUACCGCAUACGACCUACGGGUGAAAGCAGGGGAUCUUCGGACCUUGCGGGAUUGAAUGAGCCGAUGUCGGAUUAGCUAGUUGGCGGGGUAAAGGCCCACCAAGGCGACGAUCCGUAGCUGGUCUGAGAGGAUGGUCAGCCACACUGGAACUGAGCCACGGUCCAGACUCCUACGGGAGGCAGCAGUGGGGAAUAUUGGACAAUGGGCGCAAGCCUGAUCCAGCCAUACCGCGUGGGUGAAGAAGGCCUUCGGGUUGUAAAGCCCUUUUGUUGGGAAAGAAAAGCAGCAGGUUAAUACCCCGCUGUUCUGACGGUACCCAAAGAAUAAGCACCGGCUAACUUCGUG